rnacentral:rRNA from 1 species
AACGAACGCUGGCGGCAGGCCUAACACAUGCAAGUCGAGCGCCCUCGCGAGGGGGAGCGGCGGACGGGUGAGUAACGCGUGGGAACGUGCCUCUUGCUUCGGAAUAGCCUCGGGAAACUGGGGGUAAUACCGAAUGUGCCCUACGGGGGAAAGAUUUAUCGGCAAGAGAUCGGCCCGCGUUGGAUUAGGUAGUUGGUGGGGUAAUGGCCUACCAAGCCGACGAUCCAUAGCUGGUUUGAGAGGAUGAUCAGCCACACUGGGACUGAGACACGGCCCAGACUCCUACGGGAGGCAGCAGUGGGGAAUCUUAGACAAUGGGCGCAAGCCUGAUCUAGCCAUGCCGCGUGAGCGAUGAAGGCCUUAGGGUUGUAAAGCUCUUUCGUGGGGGAAGAUAAUGACUGUACCCCAAGAAGAAGCCCCGGCUAACUCCGUGCCAGCAGCCGCCGUAAGAC